rnacentral:rRNA from 1 species
UGGGAAUUUUGGACAAUGGGCGAAAGCCUGAUCCAGCAAUGCCGCGUGUGUGAAGAAGGCCUUCGGGUUGUAAAGCACUUUUUGUCCGGAAAGAAAUCCUUGGCUCUAAUACAGUCGGGGGAUGACGGUACCGGAAGAAUAAGCACCGGCUAACUACGUGCCAGCAGCCGCGGUAAUACGUAGGGUGCAAGCGUUAAUCGGAAUUACUGGGCGUAAAGCGUGCGCAGGCGGUUUGCUAAGACCGAUGUGAAAUCCCCGGGCUCAACCUGGGAACUGCAUUUGGUGACUGGCAGGCUAGAGUAUGGCAGAGGGGGGUUAGAAUUCCACGUGUAGCAGUGAAAUGCGUAGAGAUGUGGAGGAAUACCGAUGGCGAAGGCAGCCCCCUGGGCCAAUACUGACGCUCAUGCACGAAAGCGUGGGGAGCAAAACAGGAUUAGAUACCCUGGUAGUCCACGCCCUAAACGAUGUCAACUAGUUGUU